rnacentral:rRNA from 1 species
UACGUAGGGUGCGAGCGUUGUUCGGAAUUACUGGGCGUAAAGCGCGUGUAGGCGGCCCACUAAGUCUGGUGUGAAAUCCCUGGCUUAACCCAGGAACUGCAUCGGAAACUGGUGGGCUAGAGUCCGGGAGAGGGUCGCGGAAAUUCCUGGUGUAGAGGUGAAAAUUCGUAGAUAUCAGGAGGAACGACCGGUGGCGAAGGCGGCGACCUGGACCGGUACUUGGACGCUGAGACGCGAAAGCGUGGGGAGCAA